rnacentral:rRNA from 1 species
UACGUAGGGUGCGAGCGUUGCCCGGAUUUAUUGGGCGUAAAGGGCGCGUAGGCGGCCACGCACGUCCGUUGUGAAAUCGCCCGGCUCAACUGGGCGGGGUCGGCGGAUAUGGCGUGGCUGGAGCAAGCUAGGGGGCAAUGGAAUUCCCGGUGUAGUGGUGGAAUGCGUAGAUAUCGGGAGGAACACCAGUGGCGAAGGCGGUUGCCUGGAGCUUUGCUGACGCUGAGGCGCGAAAGCGUGGGGAGCAAACAGG